rfam:Chlorocebus sabaeus isolate 1994-021 chromosome 24, whole genome shotgun sequence.
AAAAAGGCUUCUAAUCAGAAGCCACUGACUUUUAUAAUAAAUAGCAGU